GUUGGGCCAUGCGGGUUCCCCGUAAUAAUUAUGUCCCAUCCCUUUAGCUAAUUUAGCUCUUAAUACAGGAUCAUUUAAGUCUGGUUUCUUUGUUAUUGGGAUAGGUGAACUCUUUAGGAUCCAUCCCCCAAAGGAACCGGACAUGAGAAUUUAUCAUCAUCCGGCUCGAGCAAGAGUGAAAGAAAUAAGACCGCGGAAGAUCCUUAAUAGAAUUAAGGUUUAUAAUGACUCAAUGACUCUAGGCAAGAAAAGCUUUAUCAGAUUCUCUUUUCCGAAGUUGCACCUACAACUACUCAUUGAAAAUAAUCCUAUUCUUAUGGGUAAAUGCUCAAUAUCCAAGUGGGCUUACAAAUUUGAUCAUGACCAAUUGCUUUGUGGAUUGUCUCAUGUCUCUUGAUUAGUUGGUAUUUAUCCCCUCAAUAUCGCAAGUUUCUUACCUCCAAACAAAAUAUUUACUUGUUACUAAUAAAAAAUCAAAAAGUUUAGCCUACAUUCUUCCUUAGAUCCCUUCUUUUACUCCGAUAGUAUUGCGGAUCACAAUCGAUGCAAAGAAAAUGAAUGCAUUUCCAUACUAUAAUAAAAAGGUAAGUGUAAUAAAUAGAGAACUGGAUCAUGUCACAUGACUUAUUCCAUUUCUACUCUAUGGGAUCUUACGGAGCCUGUUCAUGGAUGACAUGGUUGCGGUAUGAUCAUAGAAGAUAUUCUCCUCAAGUGAACCAGCCUAUCCUUCCUAGGUAGGGGACUUACAUGUUGAUUGGAUGCGGAGACACCUUUGGUUGUGAAUUCUAAUGUGGCAGAUCCAAUUCUUUAUCUGCAUGGCCAAAUCAAUAAUUCAAGUCACACACUCCCAUAAUCCGCCUUUUUUCUUUCAUAAAAUUAACUUCAACUAUUUGUAUUGUAUAAAAAUACUUUGGAGUUGAAGAGAAGUAUCCAAAUGACAUGUGUUAUUUUACAAUAACCCAUGCUUGUAGCAAUGAAAUACCAAAACCUACCCGAUAUGAUAUAUGAUAAUUAUAAUUCUCUAUGAUAUGCCUUCCCUAUAAAGGACCCGAAAUACCUUGCUUACGUAUCAUUGGAAAGUGCAUUAACAUAAAUACGGCAGUAAGCAGAGGCAGUACAAAGGUAUGUAAACUAUAAAAACGAGUCAAAGUGGAUUGGCCCACACUAGCACUUCCGCGUAAUAACUCCACUAAAGGCGAUCCUAUUACCGGAAUGGCGUCAGGUACACCUGUCACUAUUUUGACUGCCCAAUAGCCAAUUUGAUCCCAAGGCAAAGAAUAACCAGUUACACCAAAUGAUGCAGUCAAAACAGCCAAAACCACACCUGUGACCCAAGUUAAUUCACGGGUUUUUUUUAAAUCCCCCUGUGAGAUACACACGAAAUACAUGCAGGAUCAUCAUUAAAACCAUCAUACUUGCUGACCAUCGAUGAACUGAUCGGAUUAACCAACCAAAGUUGGCCUCGGUCAUUAUGUAUUGAACCGAGGAAAAAGCCUCUGUAACGGUUGGUCGGUAGUAAAAAGUCAUAGCAAAACCGGUAGCGACUUGUACUAGAAAACAAGUAAGUGUAAUUCCCCCUAAACAAUAAAAUAUGUUGACAUGGGGAGGAACAUAUUUACUAGUUAUAUCAUCUGCAAUUGCCUGAAUCUCAAGACGUUCCUCAAACCAAUCAUAUACUUUAUUGAGAUAGGUAACUAACCCGAGUCCCCCUCUAAGAGCCGUAUAUGAAAAUUUCAUCUCGUACGGCUCAAGCAGAAACACAAAAAUUUUCAACGAAUAUUAGAAAAAAGGUUCAAAACUUCAUCAGCCACUGAAUUGGGUCGAUUUGCCUUGAAGAUAUCAAAUAAGAAAAAUCCGGAAUAUCUUCUUUGUGAUGAUAAUGCCAAAAAAUCUCAAGUUGGCGCGUCUUUCUUUCUUCCCUUCCCUUAUGUUGGUCAUUAGAGGCUUCUUGACUUUUCUCUUCCCUAUAAAGGAUUUGUUUUUUUAUGCGUAAUAUAGAAAUUAUCUUGUUGAGAUCCUAUGAAUCAGUUCAAUUAAAACCUUAGAUUCAUACUAGAGCCACGAUGAUUUAGUCUCAAGCUAAACAAAAGGCAAGGGUUCUUCGAAUAAGAACCGCUUGAUAAUCAUUUAUUGAAUCAGUGUAAUGACUCGACAAAAUCGAGAGAAAAAAAAUUGUCUUUUGGGCAAACAAAAUUGGAAGGAAGAAAAUUUCUUUNNN
rnacentral:lncRNA from 1 species